UGGCGUAUAGCUCAGCGGCCCAGAGCGCCUGCCUUAUAAGCGGGAGGUCGGUGGUUCGAAUCCACCUGCGCCUA
rnacentral:tRNA from 1 species